AGGGGCAAAAUGGUAAUUUUCCCAUUUAUGUGUUUUUGGAUUAAAUUGAAUGAAAUUAUGUUUGAAUGAGUUUAAUUUGAAUAUGUUUAGAUCAAGAACUAAAGAAAUCAGAUUUGGAUCAGGGGAAAACAAAAAUAAUCGAAUAGUCAUUUAUUUCCGUCCGUCGAUAUUCGAGAUCAAGAACCAAAGAAAUCGGAAUUAGAUCGGGGAAAGUCGAAAGUGGUAGAAUAGUCGAUUCCGUCCGUUCGUUUUCGUUCGAGAUUUUGAAAGUUCGUUACGAGCUCAGGGAUUGUUAAGGAAGUCCGUCACACUAUCGACCUCUAUCUCGGUAUUUUGAAAGUUCUAAAUUUUGAACAUAUGGCAUGUAUAGGCUAGUACUUGUCUUGGUUGAUUUUGAAAUUGUAAAUAUAAAGCCAUGCGAAAAUGGC